UUUUUUUUUUUUUUUUUCAAAUUAUGUUGGGAAACAAUUUUCUAGACCAUAAAAUCUAUGUUUUAUUACUAAUUUAUAGGGAUUUGUUGUAAGUUGCCAAAAAAAAUGUCAAGGUAUGAAUGUGUCAAUUGCUCAGUUUAUUUAAACUUGGCAAACAUGAACAGCCAUCAUAUGCAAAUAUUUAUAUGCCGUUAUAAUUAUACUGUAGGAGAUCUUGCAGUUGAAUAGUUAGCCGGCCUGGUCAUAUAGACCAGCAAAUGGUGUUUGGAGUGGACUGGGAAGAAACCUUGUAUACAAGAAACCUAUACAACUGCAGUGUUGCUUUUUUUAAUAGAUAGAGCAAAGCUAAAUGCGUCAUCUGAUCUGAAGUCUAAAACUGUGGAUGUGUCGUUUAUGCCUUGAGCAGAAACGGUCUUAGAUGGCUAAAACGUAACAAAAUGAAAGCUUUGAAAUAG